AUUGAACGCUGGCGGCAGGCCUAACACAUGCAAGUCGAACGAGAGGCGGACGCGUGUGUAAUGUAUGGGGACUGCCCGAUAGAGGGGGAUAACAACUCUAGACGGUAUAUAAUAUCGCAUACUAUCUGAGAAUCCACAUGGGAGUUGCUAGUAGGUGAGGGAAUGGCUCUCCUAGGCGACGAUCCCUAGCUGGGCUGAGAGGAUGAUCAGACACACUGGGACUGAGACACGGCCCAGACUCCGACGGAGGCAGCAGUGGGGAAUAUUGCACAAUGGGCGCAAGCCUGAUGCAGCCAUGCCGCGUGUAUGAAGAAGGCCCUAGGGUUGUAAAGUACUUUCAGUCGGGAGGCGUUACCGACAGAAGAAGCACCGGCUAACUCCGUGCCAGCAGCCGCGGUAAUAC
rnacentral:rRNA from 1 species